UCCAAACCUACUGUCAGGGGCAGGGACACAUUACACUAAAUCAGGUUGUUCAAAGCCUCAUCUAAUCUGGCCUGGAACACCUUCAGGG